rnacentral:rRNA from 1 species
GAUGAACGCUGGCGGCGUGCCUAAUACAUGCAAGUCGAGCGAAUGGAUUGAGAGCUUGCUCUUAUGAAGUUAGCGGCGGACGGGUGAGUAACACGUGGGUAACCUGCCCAUAAGACUAGGAUAACUCCGGGAAACCGGGGCUAAUACCGGAUAACAUUUUGAACCGCAUGGUUCGAACUUGAAAGGCGGCUUCGGCUGUCACUUAUGGAUGGACCCGCGUCGCAUUAGCUAGUUGGUGAGGUAACGGCUCACCAAGGCAACGAUGCGUAGCCGACCUGAGAGGGUGAUCGGCCACACUGGGACUGAGACACGGCCCAGACUCCUACGGGAGGCAGCAGUAGGGAAUCUUCCGCAAUGGACGAAAGUCUGACGGAGCAACGCCGCGUGAGUGAUGAAGGCUUUCGGGUCGUAAAACUCUGUUGUUAGGGAAGAACAGGUGCUAGUUGAAUAAGCUGGCACCUUGACGGUACCUAACCAGAAAGCCACGGCUAACUACGUGCCAGCAGCCGCCGUAA